GACGAACGCUGGCGGCGUGCCUAAUACAUGCAAGUAGAACGCUGAAGGAGGAGCUUGCUUCUCUGGAUGAGUUGCGAACGGGUGAGUAACGCGUAGGUAACCUGCCUGGUAGCGGGGGAUAACUAUUGGAAACGAUAGCUAAUACCGCAUAAGAGUAGAUGUUGCAUGACAUUUGCUUAAAAGGUGCAAUUGCAUCACUACCAGAUGGACCUGCGUUGUAUUAGCUAGUUGGUGGGGUAACGGCUCACCAAGGCGACGAUACAUAGCCGACCUGAGAGGGGGGUCGGCCACACUGGGACUGAGACACGGCACAGACUCCUACAGGAGGCAGCAGGAGGGAAUCUUCGGCAAGGGGCGGAAGUCUGAGCGAGAAACGCCGCGUGAGUGAAGAAGGUUUUCGGAUCGUAAAGCUCUGUUGUAAGAGAAGAACGAGUGUGAGAGUGGAAAGUUCACACUGUGACGGUAUCUUACCAGAAAGGAACGGCUAACUACGUG
rnacentral:rRNA from 1 species